CGAGCUUCCGUCCCCAUUCCUGGCUGAGGCCCAAAGGUAAACAGGUGUAUUUGGACUCCCGGCAGGGGACAGGGGGUUGGCCCCGCGGGGCAGGCCUGGGCCUGUCAGAGGUGGGGAUGUGGAGAGAAGCCUGCUUUCACAAUGGGUGGCAGAGUGGCCCCGGGUCCUGCUGACACAUUCUUGGAUGGUGAAGAGGAAAACACAGCAUCAAGGACAGGCACCAGCUUCCGAAGUACUGAAGGAAUGAAUGCACGAAGGAAAGAAUGAACGAACGAAGGAGCUGGCUGAGCAGAUGGACAAAAGGCAAGAGUACUGGAGUGGGGUGCCAUCGCCUUCUCCGAGAUGACCCACGGUGACCUCCAAAGGGACUUGGGAAGAGACAGGUAUGAAUGACAAUCCAAGAUGUGGCUACACAAUGAAAACGACUCCCCCCGCCCCCGGG
rnacentral:lncRNA from 1 species